GUUGUAUGGUUAAGUGAUUAAGCGUAGACGGUGGAUGCCUUGGCAGUCAGAGGCGAUGAAGGACGUACUAACCUGCGAAAAGCGAUGGUGAGCUGGUAAGAAGCAUUUGAGCCAUCGAUGUCCGAAUGGGGAAACCYACCUGCAUAAGCAGGUAUCUUAG
rnacentral:rRNA from 1 species